AGAGUUUGAUCAUGGCUCAGGACGAACGCUGGCGGCACGCUUAACACAUGCAAGUCGAACGAGAGAAGAGGAGCUUGCUUUUCUGAUCUAGUGGCGGACGGGUGAGUAACACGUGAGCAAUCUGCCUUUCAGAGGGGGAUACCGAUUGGAAACGAUCGUUAAUACCGCAUAACAUAAUUGAACCGCAUGAUUUGAUUAUCAAAGAUUUAUCGCUGAAAGAUGAGCUCGCGUCUGAUCAGCUAGUUGGUAAGGUAACGGCUUACCAAGGCGACGAUCAGUAGCCGGACUGAGAGGUUGAUCGGCCACAUUGGGACUGAGACACGGCCCAGACUCCUACGGGAGGCAGCAGUGGGGAAUAUUGCACAAUGGAGGAAACUCUGAUGCAGCGAUGCCGCGUGAGGGAAGAAGGUUUUAGGAUUGUAAACCUCUGUCUUCAGGGACGAAAAAAGACGGUACCUGAGGAGGAAGCUCCGGCUAACUACGUGCCAGCAGCCGCGGUAAUACGUAGGGAGCGAGCGUUGUCCGGAAUUACUGGGUGUAAAGGGAGCGUAGGCGGGAUCGCAAGUCAGAUGUGAAAACUAUGGGCUUAACCCAUAAACUGCAUUUGAAACUGUGGUUCUUGAGUGAAGUAGAGGUAAGCGGAAUUCCUAGUGUAGCGGUGAAAUGCGUAGAUAUUAGGAGGAACAUCAGUGGCGAAGGCGGCUUACUGGGCUUUAACUGACGCUGAGGCUCGAAAGCGUGGGGAGCAAGCAGGAUUAGAUACCCUGGUAGUCCACGCCGUAAACGAUGAUUACUAGGUGUGGGGGGACUGACCCCUUCCGUGCCGCAGCAAACGCAAUAAGUAAUCCACCUGGGGAGUACGACCGCAAGGUUGAAACUCAAAGGAAUUGACGGGGGCCCGCACAAGCAGUGGAGUAUGUGGAUUAAUUCGAAGCAACGCGAAGAACCUUACCAGGUCUUGACAUCGUAUGCAUAGCUCAGAGAUGAGUGAAAUCUCUUCGGAGACAUAUAGACAGGUGGUGCAUGGUUGUCGUCAGCUCGUGUCGUGAGAUGUUGGGUUAAGUCCCGCAACGAGCGCAACCCUUACUGUUAGUUGCUACGCAAGAGCACUCUAGCAGGACUGCCGUUGACAAAACGGAGGAAGGUGGGGAUGACGUCAAAUCAUCAUGCCGCUUAUGACCUGGGCCUCACACGUACUACAAUGGCUGUCAACAGAGGGAAGCAAAGCCGCGAGGUGGAGCGAACCCCUAAAAGCAGUCUUAGUUCGGAUUGUAGGCUGCAACCCGCCUACAUGAAGUCGGAAUUGCUAGUAAUCGCAGAUCAGCAUGCUGCGGUGAAUACGUUCCCGGGCCUUGUACACACCGCCCGUCACGCCAUGGGAGUCGGUAACACCCGAAGCCUGUAGUCUAACCGCAAGGAGGACGCAGUCGAAGGUGGGAUUGAUGACUGGGGUGAAGUCGUAACAAGGUA
rnacentral:rRNA from 1 species